CUCACGCGGGACCCUUGGCCGCAGGCGGUCCUGAACCGUGAGUGUGGGGGUUGUCCACACAACACGACUUGAAGGGUGCUGUGUAGGCCUCCCCAGGAUAUGCUCUGUGCUAUCCAGCCUUCGAUCGGAAAUUCUGUCAUUAGAAUUUUGCUUCUUUAACCCUUAAAGCCUUGAUGUUUUCAAGAGCAUCCUAUUUAAAUUCUGAGGCGCAUUUGCCUCAGGUCUCCUGGGAGGCUGUUCCAAACGCAGAUAACCAGGCUCUGCCCUUGGCCCUCCCUGCGUGCUCAGCACAAAUGCUCCGAGCUCCGUGAACAGGAGAAGGACCAGCGUUGGGACUAGCCUAGGACUAGGGCUCAGGGUGGGGCGAACCGGAAGCCGCCGCUGGCUGCAGAGCGUGGGGAGAAGGCGGGCGGCCAGGGCGGCUUGGAGACCCACACCGCCUGCAGAGGGCGCUGCCGCUCCACGCGGCGCCUCCGCCAGGGCUGGCUGCCUCUUCGCCUCAUUCCCACGCGCUUGGGCCUCCCGGGCCCCACCUCCAAGCCUGCGCCCUGGUCUGGGUUCCUUCCGAGGGUUCAUUUGGGAGCUCUGGAGCCAGGCUGCCUGAACGGAGAUCCCAGCUGGCUGUGUGAACCGCUCUCCCUGCCUUACUGCCCUCUUCUGUCUCUUCAGGUUGUUGUAAUGAGUAAACGUGUGUUAAGGUGCACAAAGUCCUUCAGCCACAGCCGGCAUACCCAGCACUUGCAAGUCUGGCUGCCGCUCUUGGUCAGCCUCCCAGUUCUUCCAGUUGGAUCCUGGGCUCUCCCCACCGGUCCCACUUCACCCUGGGUCUCCCGAGAGCGAGAUGCUGUCUGUCAGCCUCAGUCCCGAUCACCAGUUACAAACCUGUGAAACCUGUGUAAUCAGAGAGUUAUCCACAUGGCAUUAUACAUUUGUCCAAACCCAUAGAAGGUGCAACACCAAAGGUGAACCCUAAUGUCAGUGAUGGAUUCCAGGUGACAAUGAUGUGUCAAUGCAAGUUCAUCGACUGUAGCAAAUAAACAGCUACAGAUGAAGUAUCCCCACAUAAAUCAGUUCAUUCAUUCAACAAGUGCAUGAAGCCAGCUGUAUUUGGCACAUCCCAUGGAAGAGGAUUCCAGAUGAAGGGAAGAGCAAGUGCAAUGCCCAGAAAUGGGGACAUGGUGGGUUAGUGGAGGAGCAUCAAGCCUUGUGAGGCCUCUUGGACGCUGGGAAAGGAAAGGGUGUGGGGUUUUCUUCUCAAGGUGAUAGAAAACAAUUUGAGGCUGAGAGCAGGGUGGUGGCAGAAUGUACUGAUAUGCAUAAAUCUUGCCUUCUGCCAUGGAGAACAAGUUACCUCUCACCUCAUUCUCCUGAGGGAAGAAUGUUCUACAUAUCUGUCCUCAUUUUUCAUCUAUCAAAGCAUCUCAGUUUACGUUUAAAAAUUUAUAUAAAACUUUCAGUGUUUUGUAAUGCAAAUACAAUAAAUAAGUUUUCUUUAUCUAUUCCUACACCAAAGAUCAGAACUUACAAUGCUCACCCAUUGCCUUCAGAAUGAAAAUACAAACAAAACAUGCAGCAAUAUAUUGGCCAAGAAGGUGUGUCUCCACAGGAAAGGAGUAUAAAAAUCACCUGCAGAGGGAGCAUGGCAAAAACUUAAAUACACCCAUCCAUAUCUUGUGCUUACACUUUUUCUCUCUUUUUUAAAAAUCAGGUAUAACACAUGCACACAGAAUUUCACACAUCAUAAGUGCACUAACUGGAUCUCUGUGAAGCAAACAUACCAUAAACCACUAUCCAGGUCAAGAGAGAGAGUUUCAUCAGCACCUCAAAAACCUGACCCAUGACCGCUCUAGAUUCCGUAUUCUUCCUUCUCCCUCAAGGUAAUCAUGCUUCUGACUUGGACAAAUCAGAUUAGUCUGCCUAUUUUUAAAUUUCAUUUAAUGGAAACAUACUUUUUUACCUAUUUGGCUCAAUAUUUUAUUUGUGAGAUUCCCCCAUGCUGUUGCAUAUAGUUGUGGUUUAGUAUUUUUACUGCCAUAUAGUAUUCCACUGUAUGAAAAUCCUGCAGUUCCAUUUCAUUGUUGGUGGAUGCUUACAUUGUUUCCAUGUUUAGGCUAUUGCAAAUAAUGCUAUUAUAAAUAUCCUUGACUGCGUAUCUUAGCACACAUGACACAUUUUUCCUGGGUAUGUAACUAGGAGUAGAUUGGCCAGAUCACAGGGUAUGCAUAUGUUGAAAUGUAGUUUAUAGUGUCAAAGAGCUUUUAAAAAGUUCAUACUAAUGUGAACUCCUACCUGCAGUUUAAGCCCUACCAAUACUUCAUAAUUAUCUGUCUUUUUAAAUUUCAGUCUU